rnacentral:rRNA from 1 species
CCUACGCGAGGCAGCAGUAGGGAAUCUUCCACAAUGGGCGAAAGCCUGAUGGAGCAACGCCGCGUGGGUGCAGAAGGUCUUCGGAUCGUAAAACCCUGUUGUUAGAGAAGAAAGUGCGUGAGAGUAACUUUUCACGUUUCACCGGUAUCUCACCAGCAAGCCACGGCUAACUACGUGCCAGCAGCCGCGGUAAUACGUAGGUGGCAAGCGUUAUCCGGAUUUAUUGGGCGUAAAGGGAACGCAGGCGGUCUUGUAAGUCUGAUGUGAAAGCCUUCGGCUUAACCGGAGUAGUGCAUUGGAAACUGGGAGACGUGAGUGCAGAAGAGGAGAGGGGAACUCCAUGUGUAGCGGUGAAAUGCGUAGAUAUAUGGAAGAACACCAGUGGCGAAAGCGGCUCUCUGGUCUGUAACUGACGCUGAGGUUCGAAAGCGUGGGUAGCAAACAGGAUUAGAGACCCGAGUAGUC